UCAUGAUUAUUAUGUAAAUUUCGAAAGAAUUAUUAUUGUUAGAGAAGUAGAUAAUUUUUAUCUAGAAUAAUUAAGAUAUCGCAUAUAUUUUUUUAUAUAUUGUCUUUUUUCGAACAUGCAGGUGCCAGUAAAUUUAUUUUAGGAGUUUUAUACAAUAUAUGUAUAUAUUUUUAUGUCCAUGAUCUUUCCAUAGUGAUAAAUCUAUGUCCGGAAGAUCUGUGCAUUUAACAAUUGGAUUUCUAAAACACGAGUAGAAUUAGAAAGGACUAUUCGUAUUCGUUCCAACAAUUAAUAUUCAUUAUUCGUUAUUCGUUAAACCAAUAAAUUUAUAACUUACGACUCGGAGACAAGUUCGAAUCCUUUGGGUUGCAUUAAUCGAAUAUUAUCACCAUUGUUACAAAAUAGUUUCGAUAUACUAGCCUUUCGUAUUUCUUCUAAUUGUUCUAAAAGCAUUAUGGUUCAUAUUUAAUUUUUAGUUUAACACAAUGUGAUUAUAUAAACAUUAUAUUGGAAAAUGAAUAUAAUUUCUUAAAAAUGGUA